CUGCAUUCAGAGGAGGAGAAGCUGAUGCAAAGUGAUUUAGUUCCUAUUUAUGUUCAUUAGGAAAGUGAAACUUUAAAAUCUUUCAGCUUUGAUGUCUCAGAUGAAGAAGAGCCAGGGGUUUGGAGGAGGUGGAUAAGGAUAAUCCAAGGACUCUUCUGCCUUCACAAUGUUUGGGGACUUAUUUGAAGAGGAUUUUUCCUUUAUUUCCAACAAUCACUAUGGGAAAGGGAAGAAAUCAAAGCCCAGAGAGUCUGAGCCUCCAGCUCCCAGGGAUUUCACCAACCUCAGUGGAAUCAAAAAUCAGGGUGGGACCUGCUACCUCAAUUCCCUUCUGCAGACUCUGCUCUUCACCCCUGAAUUUAGAGAGGCUUUGUUCUCCCUGGGACCUGAAGAACUUGGCACUCUGGAUGACAGCAGGAAACCAGAUGCAAAGGUGAUGGGAAUUUUCCUGUUCAUCACAGUUGAUUUGGAGGAAUAUGGCUGCAG